GAGUUUGAUCUUGGCUCAGGAUGAACGCUGGCGGCGUGCCUAACACAUGCAAGUCGAACGAAGCAUGCCGGAGGAAGUUUUCGGAUGGAAUCCGGGAUGACUGAGUGGCGGACGGGUGAGUAACGCGUGAGUAACCUGCCCUGGAGUGGGGAAUAACAGCUGGAAACAGCUGCUAAUACCGCAUAAUGCAGUUGGGCCGCAUGGCUCUGACUGCCAAAGAUUUAUCGCUCUGGGGAUGGACUCGCGUCUGAUUAGCUAGUUGGUGGGGCAACGGCCCACCAAGGCGACGAUCAGUAGCCGGACUGAGAGGUUGGCCGGCCACAUUGGGACUGAGACACGGCCCAGACUCCUACGGGAGGCAGCAGUGGGGAAUAUUGGGCAAUGGGCGCAAGCCUGACCCAGCAACGCCGCGUGAAGGAAGAAGGCUUCGGUGUAACUCUUUGUCAGGACGAAGCAAGUGACGGUACC
rnacentral:rRNA from 1 species